UCUACGGAGAGUUUGAUCCUGGCUCAGGAUGAACGCUAGCGGCGUGCCUAAUGCAUGCAAGUCGAACGGGAUCCUUUGGAUUCUUCUGAAGGUGAGAGUGGCGAACGGGUGAGUAACACGUUGGUGACCUGCCCCAGAGAGGGGGAUAACUAUUGGAAACGAUAGCUAAUACCCCAGAUGUCAUUGUUGUUAGAGAGUAAUGACUAAAUGCUCCGGCGCUCUGGGAGGGGCCUGCGGCCCAUCAGCUAGUUGGUAGGGUAAUGGCCUACCAAGGCAAAGACGGGUAGGGGGCGUGAGAGCGUGACCCCCCACACUGGUACUGAUACACGGACCAGAUACCUACGGGUAGCAGCAGCAAGGAAUAUUGCCCAAUGGACGCAAGUCUGAGGCAGCAACGCCGCGUGGAGGAUGAAGGCCUUCGGGUUGUAAACUCCUUUUCUGGGGGAAGAGAAAGGACGGUACCCCAGGAAUAAGUCUCGGCUAACUACGUGCCAGCAGCCGCGGUAAAACGUAGGAGGCGAGCGUUAUCCGGAUUUACUGGGCGUAAAGCGCGUGCAGGCGGUUUUCUAAGUCGGACGUGAAAGCUCCCGGCUCAACUGGGAGAGGUCGUUCGAAACUAGGAAACUUGAGGAUGGUAGAGGAGAGUGGAAUUCCCGGUGUAGUGGUGAAAUGCGUAGAUAUCGGGAGGAACACCAGUGGCGAAGGCGGCUCUCUGGGCCAUUCCUGACGCUAAGACGCGAAAGCUAGGGGAGAGAACGGGAUUAGAAACCCCGGUAUUCCUAGCCGUAAACGAUGUCAACUAGGUGUAGGGGGUAUCCAACCCCUCUGUGCUGUAGCAAACGCGUUAAGUUGACCGCCUGGGGACUACGGCCGCAAGGCUAAAACUCAAAGGAAUUGACGGGGACCCGCACAAGCAGCGGAGCGUGUGGUUU
rnacentral:ncRNA from 1 species